rnacentral:rRNA from 1 species
UACGUAGGGGGCAAGCGUUGUCCGGAAUCAUUGGGCGUAAAGAGCGCGUAGGCGGUCCGGUAAGUCCGCUCUGAAAGUCCGGGGCUCAACCCCGGGAGGCGGGCGGAUACUGUCGGGCUAGAGUCCGGAAGAGGCGAGUGGAAUUCCUGGUGUAGCGGUGAAAUGCGCAGAUAUCAGGAGGAACACCCGUGGCGAAGGCAGGUCACUGGGCCGCAACUGACGCUGAGGAGCGAAAGCAUGGGGAGCGAACAGG